AAGUCGUAACAAGGUCUCCGUAGGUGAACCUGCGGAGGGAUCAUUACUGAGUGAGGGCCUCUGGUCCGACCUCCAACCCUUUGUGAACCAACACUGUUGCUUCGGGGGCGACCCUGCCUUUCGGGCAGUGCGCCCCCGGAGGAUAUCAAAACGCUGCAUCUUUUGCGUCGGAGUAUCAAUCAAAUUGAACAAAACUUUCAACAACGGAUCUCUUGGUUCUG
rnacentral:misc_RNA from 1 species